UUUGAGUGCGUGUCAGUGUGUGUUCUCUGAAUAUUGGUGAUGAUGGCGCUAGAGGCGAGUUGAGAAUCUCUAAUGACGAAAAUGGGUCUGGGUUUUUUGCAAUAAUGACGUGCGUAUCCCUGUCUUCAAAUGGCGUUUGCCUGCACUGCUCCGGUCGUAUAAAAUAUUAUAAUUUUAUUUUUUUAUCCAAUGUACAAAAAUAAUAUGCAUAAAAUUUAUAAAAUUAUUUCUAUUAGCAAUA